rnacentral:rRNA from 1 species
CCUACGGGGGGCAGCAGUGAGGAAUAUUGGUCAAUGGCCGAGAGGCUGAACCAGCCAAGUCGCGUGAGGGAAGACGGCCCUACGGGUUGUAAACCUCUUUUGUCGGGGAGCAAAGAGAGUCACGUGUGACUCAUUGAGAGUACCCGAAGAAAAAGCAUCGGCUAACUCCGUGCCAGCAGCCGCGGUAAUACGGAGGAUGCGAGCGUUAUCCGGAUUUAUUGGGUUUAAAGGGUGCGCAGGCGGUCUGUUAAGUCAGCGGUCAAAGCCCGGGGCUCAACCCCGGCCCGCCGUUGAAACUGGCAGUC